UACGAAGGGGGCUAGCGUUGUUCGGAUUUACUGGGCGUAGAGCGCACGUAGGCGGAUCGUUAAGUCGGGGGUGAAAUCCUGGGGCUCAACCCCAGAACUGCCUUCGAUACUGGCGAUCUAGAGUCCGGAAGAGGUGAGUGGAACUCCUAGUGUAGAGGUGGAAUUCGUAGAUAUUAGGAAGAACACCAGUGGCGAAGGCGGCUCACUGGUCCGGUACUGACGCUGAGGUGCGAAAGCGUGGGGAGCAAACAGG
rnacentral:rRNA from 1 species